rnacentral:lncRNA from 1 species
CCGAGCACAUGGGCCCGCGGGCCGGGCGGGCUCGGGGCGGCCGGGACGAGGAGGGGCGACGACGAGCUGCGAGCAAAGAUGUGCCCCGGGACCCCCGGCACCUUCCAGUGGAUUUCCUUGCGGAAAGGAUGUUGGCGGUCCCUGUGACCUGUGGAGACACGGCCAGAUCUGCCCUCCAGAUUUAUUAGGAGAAAAACCUUCCCGGAAGCUGCAGAAGGACAAAUACAGAAUCCGUGUCUGGGAGAAACCUCGUGGCCUGGUCUCCAUUAUUUGAGAUGAGUUACAUCUUGGAGGACCAUAGCUGUCUGCAGUGCAGGAAGCCAACUAUUAAGGGGAAACAAAAGUGUUCUUAGGAGUCCUGCUGUCACUGUGGAUUGAGCCGGUGAAGCCCUGAGGGAUUUCAUCGCUGAGGUGGAUGGAGAAGCAGCUGGGGGCCUUGGCUGUAAGGACCCCUAAGGGCCUGAUCUUUUGGCCAGAAGGAGAUUAAAAAGAUGCCCCUCAAGAUGGCUGUGCCUGUCAGCUGCAUGGAGCUUCGUUCAAGUAUUUUCUGAGCCUGAUGGAUUUACAGUGAUCUUCAGUGGUCUGGGGAAUAACGCUGGUGGAACCAUGCACUGGAAUGACACACGCCCGGCACAUUUCAGGAUACUAAAAGUGGUUUUAAGGGAGGCUGUGGCUGAAUGCCUCAUGGAUUCUUACAGCUUGGAUGUCCAUGGGGGACGAAGGACUGCAGCUGGCUGAGAGGGUUGAGAUCUCUGUUUACUUAGAUCUCUGCCAACUUCCUUUGGGUCUCCCUAUGGAAUGUAAGACCCCGACUCUUCCUGGUGAAGCAUCUGAUGCACGUUCCAUCCGGCGCUCAGCUGGGCUUGAGGACUUCGCAGGUGAGCAGUAACGGAAAUCAGCCCCGUUUAUUCCUCCCAGCACCUGCCUUAUCCAACUCCCCACGCUGUGGCUGAGUCCCAGCCUGCUAUGGAAGCAUCACUGGACUCCCAUUGAACUCUGUGCAGAUUCGCUGUUCGUAGACAUGGUACCUGAUGGACACCAAGCUACGUACAGCUUCAAGGCCCCUUCUUUCUUUGCUAAUAAAAAAUAAAAAAUAAAAACAUAAUACACGUUA